rnacentral:rRNA from 1 species
GAUGAACGCUGGCGGCGUGCCUAAUACAUGCAAGUCGAGCGAAUAGACGAGGAGCUUGCUCCUCUGACGUUAGCGGCGGACGGGUGAGUAACACGUGGAUAACCUACCUAUAAGACUGGGAUAACUUCGGGAAACCAGAGCUAAUACCGGAUAAUAUAUUGAACCGCAUGGUUCAAUAGUGAAAGACGGUUUUGCUGUCACUUAUAGAUGGAUCCGCGCCGCAUUAGCUAGUUGGUAAGGUAACGGCUUACCAAGGCAACGAUGCGUAGCCGACCUGAGAGGGUGAUCGGCCACACUGGAACUGAGACACGGUCCAGACUCCUACGGGAGGCAGCAGUAGGGAAUCUUCCGCAAUGGGCGAAAGCCUGACGGAGCAACGCCGCGUGAGUGAUGAAGGCCUUCGGAUCGUAAAACUCUGUUAUUAGGGAAGAACAAAUGUGUAAGUAACUAUGCACGUCUUGACGGUACCUAAUCAGAAAGCCACGGCUAACUACGUG